UAACUCUGGUGUCUCCUCAUUUGCGGAUUAAUCUUUCGCCUUUUACUAAAGAUGCGUCUCCGUAGGGAGGCACAAUACAAUGAGUCUUGUCUCACUUUUUUUCACCUCACGUUUGUAUUCG
rnacentral:snRNA from 1 species